rnacentral:lncRNA from 1 species
GACUUUGAAUAAAGCAUGAUAAUAUUUUAAAGAUAAGAAAAGUGGAUUCAAAUGUGGUAUGAUUUAAAAUAUGGUUAAGAGGUAUGUGAAUAUGAGUAUAAUGAUUGUUUUUGAAAUCAUUAAACAAUACCCUUCCCUCCAGAUACAAUGAUACAUAUGAUAUGAGAUGAGAGACCUUUGGGGCCCGUCUGAACACACAUAGAGGCUUUGGGCCGUGUGUUUGGGCGCUUUUGACUUUUGGGGGCAUAUACAUGCGGUAUGAUGAUUACAGAGAUACAGAUAUGAAAUACAGACAUAUAUUGAAAUACAUAUGAUACAGAUGAGAUACAGGCCUUUGGGGCCCGUCUGAGUACACACAGAGGCUUUGGGCCGUAUGCUUAGGCGCUUUUGUCCCUUGGGGACUAGAUUAUGCAUGCACAGAUAUGAUGAGAUAUGAGAUGGUAUUUCCCUGUCUAUCCGUGUAGCUCCGGGGCGUGGCGGUACCCGGAUAGUACGUCAUUGCCUGUCCGUUGAGGUUCGGAUACGACGAGAUUAUUUCCCUGGGUACUUGUUUGGUGAUGAUUUUCAGAUCUGUGAAUUCUAUAUGAUAUUGUGAUAUGAUUUCCAUGGUUAGUAAUCUGAUUUAAAUGUUUAAUGAUUGAUUACUGGUUUCUCGCUUAUGGUUUAUGAAAUUGUGUUUGGAAAUGAUAUGAUUAUUUCUUUUUAAAGUAAGAAUUAAUUUUCAAAACUACUAUCCACUCAUUGAUCUCACUGAGUUUUAAACUCACCCCGUUUUUAUUAUAUUUUCCCCCCCUUCACCAGGAGGUUGCAGGUACACCAGACCGACCCAGCGACUGUAAAUAUAUUUUGAGUCUUGGCCACGUGAUGGUGUUAGAAGAUAUAAAUGUUUUUGUUAGGACAUCUUGGUUAUC